GUACCCUGGUAGUCCACGCUGUAAACGAUGUCGACUUGGAGGUUGUGCCCUUGAGGCGUGGCUUCCGGAGCUAACGCGUUAAGUCGACCGCCUGGGGAGUACGGCCGCAAGGUUAAAACUCAAAUGAAUUGACGGGGGCCCGCACAAGCGGUGGAGCAUGUGGUUUAAUUCGAUGCAACGCGAAGAACCUUACCUACUCUUGACAUCCAGAGAACUUUCCAGAGAUGGAUUGGUGCCUUCGGGAACUCUGAGACAGGUGCUGCAUGGCUGUCGUCAGCUCGUGUUGUGAAAUGUUGGGUUAAGUCCCGCAACGAGCGCAACCCUUAUCCUUUGUUGCCAGCGGUUCGGCCGGGAACUCAAAGGAGACUGCCAGUGAUAAACUGGAGGAAGGUGGGGAUGACGUCAAGUCAUCAUGGCCCUUACGAGUAGGGCUACACACGUGCUACAAUGGCAUAUACAAAGAGAAGCGACCUCGCGAGAGCAAGCGGACCUCAUAAAGUAUGUCGUAGUCCGGAUUGGAGUCUGCAACUCGACUCCAUGAAGUCGGAAUCGCUAGUAAUCGUGGAUCAGAAUGCCACGGUGAAUACGUUCCCGGGCCUUGUACACACCGCCCGUCACACCAUGGGAGUGGGUUGCAAAAGAAGUAGGUAGCUUAACCUUC
rnacentral:rRNA from 1 species